rnacentral:rRNA from 1 species
AUUGAGCGCUGGCGGCAGGCCUAACACAUGCAAGUCGAACGGUAACAGGAAGAAGCUUGCUUCUUUGCUGACGAGUGGCGGACGGGUGAGUAAUGUCUGGGAAACUGCCUGAUGGAGGGGGAUAACUACUGGAAACGGUAGCUAAUACCGCAUAAUGUCGCAAGACCAAAGAGGGGGACCUUCGGGCCUCUUGCCAUCGGAUGUGCCCAGAUGGGAUUAGCUAGUAGGUGGGGUAACGGCUCACCUAGGCGACGAUCCCUAGCUGGUCUGAGAGGAUGACCAGCCACACUGGAACUGAGACACGGUCCAGACUCCUACGGGAGGCAGCAGUGGGGAAUAUUGCACAAAGGGCGCAAGCCUGAUGCAGCUAUGCCGCGUGUAUGAAGAAGGCCUUCGGGUUGUAAAGUACUUUCAGCGGGGAGGAAGGGAGUAAAGUUAAUACCUUUGCUCAUUGACGUUACCCGCAGAAGAAGCACCGGCUAACUCCGUG